rnacentral:lncRNA from 1 species
UAUUUUGGAGUAACUAACGAGAUGAUUAUUCGUGUAAAUUUUGUCGAGAUUAUUAACCAAUUAUUGAUUUAUAUUUUAUUUAUUUAUAUACAUAUUUUAUAAAUUUAAAUAAAUUCAAGAAAUUAAUUGGUAUUACACGCGCACACACACAGACACACAUAUAUAUAUGUAUGUAUAUAUAUGGGUUUGGGACGAUAAUAAUAUUAAUAUCAUCACAUAUAUAAUUAAAAAAUGGAAUACUCCUAUGUAGCAUCACCAUAUUUUUGCAUUUUAUCUAUCCUAUUUCUAAAAAAAUCAUAUUUAUUAAUUCCUAUUUAUUUAAAUCUUCUCAUCCCACAUUGAUUUUUUUAUGAAAAUUUACCAAUUGAAAUACUAAAUAAAUUGAUCUAAUAUAAUUUGAAUCUCGUAUCAAUUUUUUUAAGCCUUAGACGAGAUGAUUCUCAAAACUUAGUUAUGGUCUUUCAAACUUCAAACAAGAUGAUGCUUACUAGCCAGUUUUAUUCUUUCAAACUCCAAAUGAAAUGAUGCUUGAAAUUCAGUUAUUAUAUUUUAAGCUCCAAAUGAGAUGAUGCACAUAACUAUGUUAUGGUUUUUCAAGCUCCAUACAAGAUGAUGUUUGUGGGGGAUGAAUCCAACAAUCACGGAAGUGACGUCAAUCACGUCAGAAUCGACGGGCACUAGCAACCUGAGACCACAAGUAACGUUAGAGCCCUCCGAAGAGCACCGGUGGGGGUGUCGAUGGAAGGGCCUCCGACGCUCAAGUCAGUAAAUAAUAAUAAUAAAAAUCGUAUUGAAAGCAACGGAAAGUAAAUGAAAUAGUGAAUCGGAUCGAUUUGGUCGACGGAGUUGAAAGCGAUUGAGCAGUGAGCGAGGGCCGUUGGGUCGUCCCGGUUGUGAUGAUCACCGGAAAACCUAAGGCUGGGAACGUGGAGGCAGAAGAGUGCUAGAGAAUGUGUUGGAAUGGGAAUGAUCGUAAGUAUCAGUCUCAAUGUUAAUGACGGCGUACCCCCCAGGUGUUAAUGAAGUAGUAUUUAUAGGUUAUGGACCGGCAAGGAGGCGACUAGGGUUAGGGUUUGUUGGAAUGUUCUUUGAAACCCUAGCGGUUCCGAUUUUUCAGGACACGAUCUUCCGCGACUUUCGUUUGACCUAGUCACCCAUGUUUGACUAGGUUUUCGUAAGCUUAUAAUCCAGUUUGUAUACUUUCGUGUUGAGAUAUUUACUAUGGCGCUGCUACUAAAGCAGAGGGAUCGCGCCUGUGCCAGAGCAGAGGGAUCGCGUCGCUGCCAAAGCAGAGGGAUCCCGCCUCUGCCCGAGCAGAGGGAUCAUGUCGCUGCCAGAGCAGAAGGAUCGCGCCUCUGCCAGAGCAGAGGGAUCAUGUUGCUGCCAGAGCAGAGGGAUCACGCCUCUGCCAGAGCAGAGGGAUCAUUUUGCUUGAUUCCUCUGGCGAGGAUUUUGUUGACUCCUCUGGCGAGGAUUUCGCUGAUUCCUUUGGCGAGGCUUUCGCUGAUUUCUCUGGCGAGGCGCCAGAGGAAUCGCGGCGAGCAGGGAAGUCGCCUCGAGCAGAGAAUUCGCUGAUUCUUCUGGCGAGGAUUUCGCUGACCUCUGGUCAGUCAGAUUUUAUCCAUUACACCGGCUACUUUCUCCGUCCCAUUAUAAAUAUCUCAUUGUUUUUUAGCACAAAGAUUAAGAAAUAUGUAGUUAGCAGAUAAAGUGAGUUGGUGGAAUGAAAAAAAUAUAUGGAGGACCCAUUAAUUAAUUAGUCUUAUAAUUAUUUAUUCAAAAAUGAAUGCGACAUUUAUAAUAGAACAUUUCAUUAUGUAAAAUGAGAUAUUUGUAAUGGAACGAAGGAGUGUAAUAUUGGCUUUUUCGUCUAGCAUGAUACAACAACUUUUAAUAACUGCCCAAACUCCGAACAAUCUUCAACAUUUGAGUAAAUGUCAUCAACCACAGUCUAUGUAUCCAAAUGCAUAAUUAUGAUGGAUACAUUAUGUAUCUGGCUUCAUAAUUAGGACGAAUUUUCUAUCCUUUUUUUGCAAAAUGACCAAGUUUAAUUAUUCUAAGCAAAACACAUCUAGAGGUUCUACUACUUGAUUUUUUGUUUCGAUAUAUUCUUCUCUAAUUUGUUUGUCAAGGUUCAUCUAUUUUAUUUUUUGAAAAUGACGAAUUUUCAACGAAGGUCUUUUACUUCUUCUACAAUUCAUCAUUUGAUAACGAAUUUAUUAAAAAAAUUAUUAAUUUUUCUUUUAAUUAUUAUUCUACAUCAUUAAUUAUAUUAAAGGGUUAUGACAAAAAAAUAUACGAAUUUUGAAAAAAAUUUGCAAAUUUCACGUGAACUUUCAAUUAAGCCAAAAAAAUACAUGAAUUUAUAUUUUUGUUGUAGUUUUCACCUAAGUUUGAUUUUCAACGAAAUUAGAACUCAAUUGACAGUCGUAAAUUCAUCUGAUAUUGGUCUAACUUCUAAUGAUGAAGAUUAUUUAGAAGCUCGAAGGUCUAAGAAAACAAAUUUUAAUAUAUCUGACUUAAUUUCAACUGUCAAUUAAGCUCUAAUUUCGUUGAAAGUUAAGCUUAAGUGAACAUUGCAACAAAAAUAUAAAUUUAUGUAUUUUUUUUUUUACUUAAUUGAAGGUUAAAAUGAAAAUUGCAAUUUUUUUCAAAAGUUGUGUAUUUUUUUGCCAUAAUCCCUGUAUUAAAAUAACUCCAAUUUAUUGGGAUUGAGUUUAGAUAACUAAAAGGACCAAGUAUUAGAUAUAUAACGUCCCAUUUUCCUUAUAGAUUGGGCUCGCUUUAGGACUUCAAGAAAAUAAAAUCAAGCUGAAUUAAAAUAAAAUCAAGUUGAAUUAGAAGGAAUAAAUAACUUUUUUGGGAGAGAUUAAGUAUUAACUUGAUAAUAUCCAAUCAACAGUUUUUAUCUACCUAAAAGAAGUAUUUGUAAACUUAAAAUAUUUUAUAAUCUAUUUAUGAUUUAUGAUUAUGUAUUCCGCUAAUUACAUAGGUAGUGCCAUUAAUAAUAGAAGUAAUUUACAAAAUAUUGUUCGAAAAUCAUACUACAAAAACUAUAUUUGGAUGGUCGAAUGUGUUUGAGAUUCCCAUAGAAAAGUCGCGUUUGAGUAGAAACAAAGUCGCAGAUAAUUGGACCAACUCUACCUCCUUAUCUACUGGAAAUCACAGCUGCAGCUGCUCCCAAUCCCAGCAACGAUGGCUUCUUCUUCAGCUUCUCCACCGUCGUGUGCUCUCAUGCUAUCGAAGCCACCCCGCCACUCGUCCUUCACCUCUCUAUCCGCCUUCACUUCCAUCAAAAUUAGAAGCCCGCAGGCGGCGGGAAGAGCGAGGACGACGCUCUCCGCCGUGAAAGCCGAGUUCGACCUUGCUUUCUUCGAGAGAGACUUGGAAGGGAGCGACGCGCCGCCGACGACGCCGGGCUUCCCCGAGGUGGAGGACAAGGAGGAGCCCCAGUGCCCGCCUGGCCUCCGCAAGUACGAAACCAUGGUCGUCCUGCGCCCCGAUAUGUCCGAGGACGAACGCCUCACAUUCACCCAGAAAUAUGAAGAGGUCACAAAAAUUCAUUUCCAUUUUCAAAUUUACUGAUUUUUUUUCAUGUUGGAAAAGUUUUGUGUUAUAGUUUCUGUGCUCUUGUGAAUUGGAUUCGGAAAUGUGGCUUCAAUAUUUACAUUUUAGUUGUCGAAAGAUAGCACAUAUGAUGACCUAAAAUGUAUAAAUGGGAGUACUACAUUUGCAUUUUCUGAUAAGCAGUUUAUCAUUUUAGUUAUUGAAUUGUUAAAAUGUUGGAAUUUUAAUUUGUUACCCCAAAAGAAUAAAUAAAAAUAACAAGAGAUGUGGCUACUCCUAUUCCUAAUCCUAAAUAGCAUGUAACGAUGUAGGGAUCCGUAAGUAAAUGUAGUAUCUAUAUGGAUAACCAAUUGAAGUUUAGGAGUAUUCUUUGAAAUGUGGAGUUUUGGAUUACAAGUUAUACCACUUUGAAGGAUUAACCUUGAUAGAUAAAAAUAGUAAGCCUAAUCACUUGUUUACUUUGUUGGAUUGAAACUUUGGGAUAUCCCAAGGCCCUUGAUUUAUUUCUAUCAUUUAAGCUAGUUUUGUUUAAUUUUUGUCCCAUUAAAAGGGUGGGAUUGGAAUAAUCCUACUCUUGAGGAUAAAAAUACCCAAUCAUUAAUUUUAUCAAUCAUGCAAAGUAAACGCCCCCCAAAAUGUCGUGUAUGAAGAUGGAAGUUGACAAGAAGAUGUGGUUUAUGUAAAAUUGUGUUGAAAUGUGGGUGUGCAGUUGCUGGUAGCUGGUGGUGGGAUGUAUGUGGAGGUGUUCAACAGAGGCGUGAUUCCGCUUGCUUACAGCAUCAAGAAGAAGAACAAGGCCGGAGAGACCAACACGUACAUGGAUGGCAUCUAUCUUCUCUUCACCUACUUCACCAACCCUCAGUCGAUGACAUUUCUCUCAGACACACUGCUUGCCGAUGAUGAUGUUGUCCGCUCAUCCAGUUUCAAGAUCAGGAAAAGGAAGCUCUUUUAGGUGUUGUUGUUUAUGCUGCUUCCCGUUAACCCUAGCAGACUUCAGUUUCCCGAGCUAGAGCGAUUCAUGUUGGAUUCUUUAAUUGGGAGGNUAAUGCCACAUCCAUCUUCUUCUAUCCUACUUCUGGAAGCUUGUUUUGCAUUAGUGUUCUACUGCAUAGUGAUGUUCACUUGUAAAUGCUGUGGAUUAGUUGUCCUACCCUGCAUAUGUUAUGAAUAAGUAUGCCUUUUUUUGGUUACUGUACCCUUGAGGGCGCGUUUGAUGAGAAAAUAUUAUCUUUUUCUUUCUUUUUAUCAUCUGUUUACUAGAGAUGAAAAAAAAGACUUAUCAUAUGCUAUAUUUUAUCUUAUACAUUGUAGACACAUGAGAAAUUGUGAACAUCUUUGUGAUGGUGAUUCGCAGUAUUUAAUUUAAUAAACACAAAGUAGCAUACAAUGCCGAUAUUUGUAGAUUAAAAUUAAUGUAUAUAGGCAGGAGUUAUCUCUAUAUUAUUUUUUAUUCUCCUUUCAAGAUCUUUGAGAUUUUUGGAGAAAACGGGCCUCAUUAUCGCCAAUAUAUAAUAAGUAUAUAUAUAGUAUAUAUGAUUCAUGGAUACACUUAAAAGUAUUGCAUAUAACAUAUAUCGUUAAACUAUACAUCUACUUGUUGGCAUUUGGCAAGCAUAAACUAUAUUGAUACUAUACUAAUAACAAUAUCAUAAAAAAAAACUUAAUCUCAUUAAUAUUUUCGAUUAAUGGAUUACUUAGCAAUAUUGCUUAGAAAAUAAAUGUAGCUAAAUAUUGUUCUAAUCAUGAAUGGUUAGUGCUAAAAUGGACCAAGAAACAAUUAUUUACUAUAUAGGCAAAAAAGAAAAUGCAAUGGACAAAGGAUUCGUAAUAUAUAGUCACUACUUGAGUAUGUCUGAAACAAAUACCAGACAUAAAUUGUAAUCAUCCAUACUCAAACUCAACAUCAACAGAUUCUGGCGAUGAGAUCUAUAGCCUUAUUGUCAAAAUUAAUACAUCAAAUUGAACAAAAACCUUCUGAUUUAAGGAUAGAUUGAUAGAGUUGAGAUGAUAGGAAAGAUAAAAGAACUGACAUCGAACGAGAUACUCUGCCACGCCCACAACCUACGCCGCAAAGUUCAUACAAAAAUCAUGCCCUAAUCUAAUGUAAAUAUGCUAUUUAUAAUCUACUUCUAUCUAGGCCCAUGCAAAAUACGUAAAUUCAUAAUUAAUAAAAUAAGAAUUAUAAUAAAAUAACGGAAAAGAGGGUGGUUGAGCAACCAUUUUUCCAAACAAAGGACAUAUGCUGCAACGAUCCAGUCUGUCUUGUGAGAUGCAUGGCUUCAUAACAUAAGCAUUGAUGGUUGAGCUAUUUUCGAAACAGUCCAACACCCAUUGAGCCCAAAACAUAGAAUGUCACGAGUGUCAUUUUCUGGAAUUCGGUUCUCCAAAAAAUAUUGCUUAGUCUGAGCCAACCAUGCAAUUGUCUGUGUCCAAUAGAAAACACUAUCUGAGGGUUUGCACAGAUUGAGUUGCAUCUAACCCGAUCCCUUCUCCUAGGAUGUCUCACCCCUUCUUCCCGAUGGUUGAGCUAGAUUCCCUUGUAGAAUUGCCCAACUCCGCAGCGCGUGAUCCCAAAGAUUCUAACUUUGAUAGGAUUGCUGCGAACUGAUGCUCAUGCUUUCCCAGGAUUGUCUCAAGGGAAACUAACGCACCUUCCACCACGGCUACCUUAGAUUGCAACUCCUCUACUAUCUUCUCUAUCUUCUCCUCUCUAGUAUUGGGCAUGAACAAUUGCACACUCACCACACUAAUUUGAUAAAGUUAAAAUGGUAGUUGUUAAAGUAUUGUUUACUAUGUUGUUGUCAUUUCUAUAGACACUUUGCUAUCAGUUGAUACCAUCAGAGAUACCCGAUGUGAUACUGUCAGUAUCAGAAUAUUCUCAAAAGAUACCUUUCAAAUUUGCACAACGUUUUGUUGAAGUAUUCGACCUCUCCUCAGAGAUCUAUUCGUUGUGGACUUCUUUCAUCCUAAGGAUAGACUUCAAGCUUAUCAUAUGGACUUCUUCUCUUUUAAAGGAUCAACAUCAAAGUUUAACAAGAUAAUCAUGGACGAAUUCUACUUGAAGGAGUCUAUGAUUUUACAUCUAUAUAAGGAGGCCAUAUUUCGUGGAAGAAGGCUGGGGAUUUUCGUUCUUAAUUGCUCUUGCCAUGUAGUUGAGAAUUCUGUUCCUGUUAGGUGUACCCCCAGACUAGUACCGUCUGUAGUACGUUUCCUGAUACUGUACUUUUCUUUAUACUAGCUGAAGAGUAUUUGCGAGUUAUACACAUGAGCGUACAUUGUAAAAGUUAUAUACUCUUCUUUAUUAUUGAUUCUAGUUUCUCAAGGGAUUAGGUGCGCCUAGGAAGUUAGUCGUUGUCUAGCUUUCAUUUAUUCACCGUUGAUGAGAUUUUUGGAAGAUGUAGAGGCUAAGUAAGAGAGUGUCUUAUUGUGUAAGUCCUUUGUACAUGUUAAACUUCAUAGUGGAUAAUUUUUCCUGGGCGAGGCCCCCUUAGACGUAGGUUGUUUAACCGAACUGAGUUACCAUUUAUGGUGUUCGUGUUUGUUAGUGUUUCUGUUACUUUCUAAGUUGCAGUAUCUUGCUUGAUACUCACAUUCGCUGUUACAAUACAUUUCAUCACAUGUUUUAUGAAUUAGUCUUUCUUUCAGUAGUAAAUAUAAAGAACUGGAAUUACUAAAAGUGAACACCCAAACAAGGAUCAUAAACUCGAAAAGUUUAUACAGAAAAACAUACCCUAAUCUAGCAUAAAUACAUUAUCAUGCAAAAUACAUAAGCCCGCAAUUAACAAAAUAAGAUUAAUAAUAAAAUAACAAAAUUCAUAAACUAAUCCUUAAUAAACUCGAAACUUGUGUCGCGCAUAAACCUUCAAUCCAAGUGCCAUUCUAACAUAAAUUUUUUAUGCCUUAAUUUUGUGACUCAUACUAAACCUCAUGGACAACAUCAACAAGUUCUCAAUAGCAAAUAAUUCAGUAAACAAUAAUACUCCAUCCGUCCCAUAAUUUAUAGAAGGGUUAAGGUGCAGAUAGGCCUCUCAAGUAAAGGUCCUUAGAGCAUUUCAGUCCUCUUACUAACUGUGUGUGCAUAUUGGCCCUCGAACUCAAAAAAAUGGUGCAGAUCGCCCCCUCUGACUUAACACCGUUAUGGGCCGUUAGUCAGAGGGGGCGAUCUGCACCGUUUUUUUGGAGCUCAGGGGCUAAUCUGCACAUUUUCCCUUUUUGGAGUUCGGGGGCUAAGUCUGCACACCGUUCAUUAAAAAAAUCACAUCUCAUCUUCUCCGACGAACUUUUNUCACAUAAUCGAAAUGGAAACUUGAAUUCUCCCUCGAACGUCACCGCCCCCAAUUGCAUAAUCACCCCCAACGAAUCGAACUUCGCCUCGCCGUAGGCGGUGAUCGUGACCCCAAUCGAGAUCGAGAUCAUGUUGGCCAUGGUCUCUGAUUUGAAGGCGUCCUUCUUCAACAGCACGCCGAUAGUGUAGAUGGCGACGGGCAUCAUCGGCCUUUAUCACCGGAUUUCGCCGGAUUUGAGAGAAAGAGGCGACUUCUUAUCGAGAAAAGCUAGGCGACUCCUCAUCGAGAAAAGCCAGGCGGCGGAUUCACCGAAUAUUGCGGCGGCGAAAUCCGACGGAAUGGGAGAAUUGGGGCUCGUCCUUGACGCUAAGCGUGUGCAGUCGAGCGAGCUCCGAGGUUUAGGGCCCAAGAGAGAAAGAAAGGGCCAGCGCCCUCCGCCGGAGCUUGAAUUAGCGACAACGACGAUCAAAUUUUGAGCGAGAGAGAUGAAUUAAUUAAAAAGUUAAAAGGUGCAGAUUAGCCCCUGAACUCUGAAAAAACGGUGCAGAUCACCCCCUUGACUAACGGCCCAUAACGGUGUUAAGUCAGAGGGGCCGAUCUGCACCGUUUUUUUGAGUUCGGGGGCCAAUUUGCACACAUAGUUAGUAAGGAGACUGAAACGCUCUAAGGGCCUCCACUUGAGGGCACCUUAACCCUUUAUAGAACAAUGCUUUUCGACACGAAGAUUAAGGAGAAAUAAAUUAGGUGAAAAUAAUGUAUGAUCUACAUAUUUAAGUUUGUGUUUAAGGGAUUGUUUAAAUUUUUUGUUAUUUCUUGCAAAUAUGCAAUAAAUGUUUUCCAAAAAUUGUUUUCAUUCCACAUUUGACAAAACUAACGAAAAUUAUGAAACAAAAUGCUGAAAAUAAUUGCAGAGAUUUCUUGUUCUUGCAGAAUGAGUUUAUUAGUGAAUUUAUGAAACAUAAAAUUAGUUUCGCCUAAUGCAAAGACGAAACAAAGACCAAACAAAAAUUAUGUUAAUGGGGAAACCAAACAAAAAUUUUGUAUUCCUCCUAACGCAGAAAUCAAACAAAAAUUAUGAAACAUAAAUUUAAAAAUCUCUUGUUUUUCCAGGAAGCUUCGCAUUCUUACUGAAACCACCAAAACCCCUAUCCUCUAAUUAUCAUUGCACGACUAUAUUAAAGAAUCAUAGAAAUUAAAAUUGAAAUAAAAACCCACAAAAAUUCAAAAACAAAACGAAGAUUUUUCCAAAAAUUGUAGAAAUUGCAGAAGAUUUUAAACUGUACAUAGUAUAUAUCCGAUAAAUGAAGGAGAUUAUAAUGAAGAAAGAGAUAAAUAUGAAAAAUUAUAGCUCUAUUAUAAGUUUAUAAAGAGGCCUAUUCCUACUAAAAUUCUUAGUAUCUGUCUAUAGCUAUGGGCAUAUCUUCAUUAUUCACGUAACAACUUUAUAAUUGUAAAUUCUCACCACAAAUAAUGAAUAAUUUCGAUCGACCCUCCGUGUUAAUGUAGAUUCUUACAACUGAACCAACAAUAAGUGUAUAACUAUACAAAACAGGAACAAUCCCAUUUUAUGAGAAAUCCGUUCAAAUAACAAUACAAAACAAGAAAACACCUUGUGAGAAAUCCAUUAAAAUAACAAUACAAAACAUAAAAAACCGCUAUCUCUAAUAAGUGUAGAGUGUUUAAAACCAUAACAAAACCCAGGCAUUUGAACAACUCACAACGCGUCAAGUUCCAACAAGAAAUUGUGAAAAAUAAGACGACAUCAAAAACAAAAUGGUCUACGACCAACCGAAGACAUAGUCAAGAACAUAGACGAGUGCGAGAGAAAAGGGAUAGAGAAGAAAAGCUAUGAAAGAGGUCCAAACAGGAAACGUGGUGCGAACACUGGCAAACACACCCAUCACGAUGCACACGAUCAAAAUAACCAGCACCUCCGACGAGAAAUCCCAAACCAACCCCCUCGCAUACACCAGCGCCAAGAACACCGACAGGCACAGCACGUUGUUCAUCGUAACAGCUCCGUACAACUGCCAACAACACCAACAUAUAAUUCUCUAAACUACCAAAUGUUGCCUAGCUCCUAUGAAACGUUACCUCAGAAAAUGUCAGGGAAGCAGAUCUUAGCUUCUUCCUGCUCGCAAAUAUGAUCGCGGAGACGGCCUCACUGGAGUUGGUAGCCAAUGGAAGAGCGAUGAACGAUAUGAAGAAAGUAGGGAUCCUCGUGGCGUUGGAGAAAUUCUGAACCGCAUCAACAAGAGGAUCGGCAAAUGCAGCUGCGAUGACAGAUCCGAGGAGCAACAGAAGCACGGCUUUCAGUGUCGUCCACUGCGAGUUCUCAACGCCCUCCUCACUCUCUUCGCUUUCAACUCCCAAAAGGAAAUGCUCUCUCUUUGUUUGCUGAAAAAACAACAGAUACACCAUUAUACGGCAUUCUAAACUAGCCCCCCCUUCAUUAUAAAGCAAACAGACCGUGUGGAAAUCAUCUAUAUACUUCAUUGAAUCAGCAGCAUGAUUGGCAAGUUUAGCCUCUUCAAGCCAUCUCCCAAUUCCAACGAUGAACUCUGCGAGAUCAACUUUAGAGUCCCGGCUAGUAUCGAACUCCUUCAUUACUUUCUCUACGGCAUCGUUAUGAUCCAAAUUGAUCUCAUCAAACUGGAUUCCGAUGAUCAGGGCCCUUAAUUCUUUACGCGAAAGGUAUCCAUCCUCAUUUUCAUCAAUCGCUUUGAACAGCCUGUCGUAGUACAGAUAUGAGCUUUAUGUGCAGAGUUGCAAAGGAAAAGAAGGAGCUUACUUGGACAACACUUGUACAUUAGGCCGUCCCUCUUCCGUGGAAAGCCUCCCCAGGGCGCGCUUCUUCAAGUGCUUCAAGAUUCCCGACAUCACGUGCCUAUGCUUGAUAUAAUCGAGCCGCCUCUUUUGAACCCACGGCUGAAAAACCUGCAAAGGGAACACUGACAUUCUUGAGACAAAAACUGAGAACACCAAAAAUACACAAGUGAAGUGUGUGUGUUAUUGAUGUUGGGUAGCAUCUUCUUUAAACGGACAAAAUAACUCGUGAACCAAAUACCUGGUAAAGGCAAUAGCAGAUGAGAAGUGAAACUGAGACAAUAAGACCAAUCAAGACAGCCAAGUUCCUCCCAGAAUCUGAAUGCAAUAUCUGUGGAAAUUGCACAAUUAUGAAGGGAAUCACAGAUAUAGCCAUGAUUAUGCCAGCAUAAGUUGUCCAUAUGUCUGUGCUUACGCCGGAACCUGCAUAACCAUGAUAUGAAAUCACAGCCAACAAUAAGUCUAUAACUGCAACAAAGUUGGAGAUUGAGUAGAAAUGGCAUGACACCAAGACCGAUUUGUUAGUAAACUUAACCAAAAAAAUGCUCAGACUCCAUAUGCCAGGAGCUCAAUCGAUGAUUAAUGUGGUUUCUCUUGUUUAGGUGCAUCAACAACAUCUCAAGUGUUGAUCAUCUUGUUUAGGCAGUGUAGCAACAUGCAUAUACAAGGUAAAGAUUGAGAGGAAAUUAACCAGUUAAAGUGAAGGGUCUGGUGUCUUGAUUGUCGUUGGCGAGAUCAUCUUGUAGGUCGCACUUUCCCACGAGAAUGCAGGAACCCCAAAUUACAGUGAGGAGCAUAACAGUUGAGCCGGCCAGAAGGCCCAUGCCAACUGAAACCUGGCUUUGAGCAGUUUCUACACUUCCAGACAUUCCAGACACUGAAAAUCAGUACAAAUAACAACACAUAAUGAGUUAGGCAGGGCUACUGAACAAAUGAAUAACAUGACAUCAACACAACUGCUCAUCCUGAAUCUAAACCAACAUACAUCAUAAAUCUCUUCUCCCACUUUAUAUAUUCUAUACACAAAAUUAUCAUCAUAUCAAACAUGAAACCAAAAACAAAAAAAAUUGCUAUAUACUAGUCGAAAUCAAAUUUGAUAGUGUCCGCAGGACCCAGUGAUCAGCGUGGUGUGGUGUGUUGAUCUAGUGAUAGUGGCUAAAAUUUGUAAGUAUCAAAAUUUGCAAGUAUAAACACAUUUGUAUACGUAAGUAUCUAAAACUAUCAUGAGGUAAUAUGAAAUUAUGAAUAUUGGCUUCUGGUAAAUGGAUGAGAUUCAAUAUCUCACAAUUUUAUACAUGUCACUUGUCCUAUUCUUUUAUUUAUUAUUUAAAUAAUUCUAUUUUUUAUAAAAAUAAAAUUUAUCAUAAUAUUAUGAAUUAUACUAAUUUUUAUUUUGAAAAGUUAAAAUUUUUAAAAAUUAUACUCCCAUAACUUUGAAAUUAUCCACCUAUUAUUAAUAAAAGUAAAAUUAAAUGAUAAAAAUUAAUUAUAUACCCUAUUUAAAAUGAAUAAACCGUAGUUAAUAAUCAUAAAAUUAAACUAAAACAUACAAAAUUAAAAUUGAAAAAAAAUAUAUAUAAACAAAAACAAACUACAAAGUAAGACAUUAUGAUACACUGAAUCUCAAUGCCAGGUAAAAUGCCAAAAUUUUAAGAGAUCAGAUAACUUACUCAACUUACUCUUCAAAAAACUUACUCAACUAAAGCUGCGUUUGGUUUCAUUUAGAUGACUUUAUAGAAUUUCAUCAAAGAUGAGUUCUUGUGGGAAGAGAUUAAUGAAGAAAUCAAUAGCGAAAGUGCUGGGAAACUGAAGGUGACGACGAUGGGAGGAAAUUUGGUGUUGAUACGUAGUGUCUGCGACGCGCCAACAGAAAAAGUUUUAACCGAGAUGGAUGAAUGGAGUGAGUUCUGGUUUCAAUGGAAGAGGAAAUGGAACGUUGUGGAUGUGUUUCAACAACGAGUUGUGUGGACGAGGUGGGUCGGAAUCCCACUCCAUGCAUGGAAUCCUCGUUUCUUUGAGUUGGCAACUGCAAAGUUCGGUCGGGUGUUGAAGAUGCAUGAGAAGACGAAAGAAAAAGAAAAACUGGAUGUUGCUUUGAUUCAAAUCUCCACGGGCCUUAGAUCCAUUGAUCAAGUGACGGAGUGUUGUAUUAAUGGAGCAAGGUUCACGUUUCGCAUUGAGGAAAUUCACGAGAACCCUUUCUCUUCCAUGAUCGGCGAGCCGGAGUUCGAGGUUUCGGGAUCGGAUGCAGGAUGGACGAGCGGGGAGGAGUCCAUGGAUCCGGCAGCUGCAAUCAUCGGAGAUCUGAACGAGAGCGAUGAAAGGGAUGACGAUGUUUCGGUUCUCCAAGAAAUCAACGUUUCGUCUCCUUCGAUCCAAACCGUUGUGGACACGUUUGUCGAGGAAACCAAUUUUGAGAGGGAGUUGGCGGGAGGAUCGAAAAUGCUUUUGAAGUUGGUUGGGGCCGAAGGAAGAAGUGUUUGUGAGGGAGAUCAUUCCUUAAUGUCGACCCAAGCGCAAGGAGAGAUUAGAAGCGCUAUUCUGGAAAGGGAAGAAGCCGAUUCAGUUGUGUACAGCGAAAGUCAAGGUGCCAAAAAUGUUGUGGAGGACACGGCGUGGAAAGAGGAAGGGCAAAGGAUCGAAAGAAACGAGCUUCCGAUUUUUAGCUCCGAGGAAGGAAGUCGUUCAAACCAAAGUAAAAGGUGUGGUGACCGAAAUUCAAAAGGAAAAAAGGGAGAGAAAAGAAAAAGAAUAGAGCCAGGGAGAAAGAGAAAUGGGAACACUUCAUUUCAGAUUUAGAGCCAAUUGAUGGAAGGGGGGAGGAAGUGGCAGAGCAGGAAAGAGGGGGGGAGAACGAAGAAGGGCAGAAGACGACAGUUGGGGAGCAAAUUUCAGGUCAGCAGAUCUGGGAUUUUGGAAAGAAGAUCGGGCUGUCAAGUCGUAUUCCAGACGAAGAUGUUGCUCGACAGAUUGAGGUGCAAGGUAAUUUUCUUUCUUGCGAAAAUGCUGGGAGUAUUUUGAGGAAUGUUUAAUGAAUUUGUUAUCUUAUAACAUUCGGGGCUUGGGGAGUGUUGCGAAGCAGAGAGAUGUUACUGAUUUGGUGAAAGGGCAGAAGAUCGAUUUUUGUGCUUACAGGAGACAAAGAUGGAGGUGUUUAGGGAUUUGUUCUGUAAAUCUUGGUGGGGGUCUAAUUAUACAGACAUAGCGAUUAGGAACUCGGAGGGAAGGGCUGGAGGAAUUGUUUGUUGUGGAAUAGGGAGGUUUUCGAAGCCUCUAGUACGUGGGAUUUACCGGGGGCGGUGGUGGUGAAUGGUAGGUACAAGGAGGGGGAUAUCUUAUGUUGCAUCAUCAAUGUGUACGCACCAGUCGGCUCAGGGGAUAAGCGGAUCUUGUGGGAUGCAUUAAGCUCAAUUGUGGAACAAAAUACGGAUAGGAGUGUCUGUAUCUUGGGAGACUUUAACUCAGUUAGGAGGAGGGAUGAACGUGUGGGCAGUGGGGAGACGUUUGGAGCGGCUGAUGCAAGAAGUUUUGAAGAAUUUAUACGGGAGAACGAUCUGGAGGAAAUUAAAACUCAAGGCCGGAAAUUUACUUGGUACAAACCAAAUGGAAAGUGCAAGAGUAAGAUUGAUCGCUUCUUUGUUAAUGAGAAUUGGCUGGCUGCUUGGGAAGGGACGUCGGCACGAGGACUUCAACGCUCAAUUUCGGAUCACUGUCCGAUUAUUCUCACUACAAGAUCGGAGGAUUGGGGUCCAAGACCUUUUCGGUUCCUCAAUGCAUGGGUGAAUCAUUCGGAGUUCGAGGAGAUGGUAAAGCAGGUUUGGACGGUGACUAANAAAAUUAAUUAAAGUUUUAAAUUUAAACAGUUAGCAAACAUUGUUACACGGUCGUUAUAUAUUCAAAAAAUAAUAAGUCUUGGAUUCAAAUAAUAGAUUUAUGUGAUGCAUGUGUAAAUAGAUAAAAUUGAACUUGUUUAGAAUUGUGAUUGGAGUUUAAUUCUUUUAUGUUCAUACAUAAAUAUAAUAAUCAACUUAAUGAUAAUAUGAUACUACACUAUUGUCGUUAAAAUAGAUUAAAAAAUAGGGACAUAUUAGGCAAGUCAAAUUUUGUAAAACAAGGCACUUUUAUAAUAGGUAUAGAUAGAUUAUUUUAAAAAUAUCUUUUUAUAAAAAUAAAAUUUAUUAUGAUACUAUGAAUUAUAUUUAAUUUUUCUUUUAAAAAAUUAAAUUUUUAAAAAUAUAUACCAUAACUUUGAAUUUAUCAACCUAUUAUUAACUAAUAAAAGUGAAAUUAAAUGAUAAAAACUAAUUAUUUCCCUAUUUAAAAUGAAUAAACCGUAGUUAAUAAUCAUAAAAUUAAACUAAAACAUACAAAAUUAAAAUUUUAAAAAAUAUAUAUAUAAACAAUAAAUAAAAUUAAAAAUGAACUACAAAGUAAGACACGAUACACUGAAGGUAAAAUGCCAAAAUUUUAAGAGAUUAGAUAACUUAGUCAACUAAAGCUGCGUUUGGUUUCAUUUAGAUGACUUUAAUUUAUAGAAUAUAUUCUUGUAUUGCGAUAGGAAAACAUAUGAAAACGGAAAAUUGGAAUUGGAUAUUUUUUAGGCAAAAGAAACAUUCCAGUAUAAUUUUAAGAUCUUGUCAAUAUGAUUUUGCUAUGAUUAAUAAAACACAAAUUUUUCUAUAUAUACGGACAUCCACACGGUACGAACCCUUACGAACCCUAAUCACAAGCACAUGUAAGACCUGUUCUUUUUAAAAUUUGUAUUUCCUCUGUCUUUAAAAAUUAUGAUUCAAUAAAAAUGACACCAAUUUUAAUACUAUAAUUUUCAAAAAUAUGUACAUACCAAUAUAAUAAUAAGACCAUAAUUUUUAGGAAUCUCAAUCAGUAUUACUUUUCUAUAUUUAGAUAUAUCAAGAAAGCAUUAAAAUGUGUUGUAUGUCGCGGUCCUAAUUCAAGAAAGUAACUGAAACAAUUAAAUAAAAACAAUAAACAAAAGUUCCUUGAAAUAGUAUUUUAACAUUUAUCUGGGGAGUUGAACAAACACUUGUCUGACCUGACACUUUAAAACAAAGAUAAAUAUGUAGAAUUGAAUAUAAUACUCCCUCCGUCCAUGAUUUAAUGCCCUAUUUGGGUGUGGGCACGGAGACUAAGAAAGCUGAAAAAUGUGAUGUGGAUGAAAUAUAAGGGUAGUUGACUAAAGUGAUAAAAACAGUUGACUAAAGUGAUAAAGGUGUUGUGAGUGGGUCCACUAGUGAUAAAGUGUAGUAAAUAUAGAAUAUAAAAAUGAUAAAUUAGUUUUAAGGUGGGUCCAUGAGUGGCAAAUGGUAGUAAAUAUAGGAAAAGAAGAAGAGUAAAAGGGUACAAAAAGCAGAAUAGGGCAUUAAAUUGUGGACAGAUUUUUAAAGGCAAGUAGGGCAUUAAAUUAUGGACGGAGGAGUAGUUUUAACAAAAAUAUAGAAACCAACAUCUUUUGAGUUUCUAAAAGAAACUACACCACACAAAGCAUACAUCAUCUCUAUGUUCCAGACUUGCAGUAAAUCCAACAUAUAUAUCUACACAAGAAAAGGUGACUAAAUAACAGGACUCCUUCCUUCCCUUAUAAAUUUUCAACAACAGAGCCUUUUUUUAUUUUAUUUGAGGAAAUAUAUAAAAGUUGAAAUGAGAAGUGAUCGGUUUCAGACAUUCCAAUAGAUAAUAAAAAAAUAAAGGAAAAAAGUAAUUACCAAGUAUAAGCAUAGCAUCAGGAAGAGCUCCGAGAAUGGGGAGGAAAAGGCCGCCGACGAUUCCGGGUCCCAAAAUCUCGAGCAGAAGCUCGCUGCCGCCUGACAGAUACGUCGCCGCCAUGAACAUCAGGUAUCCGUACACCAAGAUCAGGAAGAGGUUUCCCAUCGCCGUCGAUGUGCACGGCAUGAAUCCGUACGUCUGCUCGCACGACUCCUCCUCCGCUCCCAGGCGGAGGAACGACGGCAUCACCACCCCAUCGGAGACCACACCGGAUUGGUCGGAAAUCAAACGCCCGUACGCCGCGCCGCAGAGGAUCAGAAAGAGGACGGCUGUGAGAAGCGGCCGCUGCAUCACCAUGCUGAAGAACUGAGUGUGUGUCUGUGUAUUAAUUGUGUAUUAAUAUCGUUAUGGAGCGUGGCAGAUCAACAGGUUGUGGAGCGCCAUUUUCGAAAUUGCCGAGAUCGUUUCGUUGAAUAAGCUUCUUAAAUAAUUAUCUACUAUUUCGAAUUUUGCCCCUUGGGUUUAAGAUUAUAUAUAUCUAUAUACAACUCAAUAAAUACACCUAAUAUUAUAAUGUGAUACUAUUAAUAGUUUGCUAAUUUAUCACGAUUUACACCAAGAUCUGAGAUCUGCAUCUGCUAAGUCAGCUUUUCAAAAAUAAAAUUAUAAAUCAAUUUAGAGGGUUGGUCAAAUUUAAGGAUCAAAAGAUUUGAUCUAAAUGAUAAAAUAAUUUAAUUUAAUUAAAUAGUUAAUUUGUAGUAUAAUUUAAUUUAUGAUGGAUUAUUUGACUUGUAAGAUGAUUAUUUAUCACAUAAAAAUUAAAUUAAUUAUUUAAUCAUCUUUCAAUCUGAAAAUUUUAAAAUAUAGUCACUAAAAAAUUAUUGGUUGUUUUGUUUUCAUUUUUGUGCAUUUUUGCAUAAUUAUAAAAAGAGAAUCAUAUUCUUUUUACUUAGUUCUAUCUCUCUCUCUACUGCUGAAAUAGAAAUUUUAUUGAAAAAAGAAAAUUCAAAAACCCUUGAAAGCACAGGCGCAGACUAAGGGACGAGCCUCAAGAAAGAAAGCUCAAACAAACAAACGAACACUAUCCCUAAAAAAAGGGGACAAAACCACAAGACAGAAAGCAAACAAAACAACGCGGGAAAGGGGCGGAAAAGCCCGGCCCCCUAAAGCCCUAAACAAGACCAAAACGAAAAGCCGCAAACAAACGAACGACCAAACAGCAACGCGAGGGAACGAUAGAAGCAGGGGCACUCGAAACGAAUGCACACAACCAAAAGCACCAGGAAAGUCAAGGAGGCAGGAGCCGACGGCGCUAACACCAAGCCAGAGCACCACAAAACCCUGCAAAAGCCAAAGAAACACAUGAGAAAACAGGGGAAACCAAAGCAAACAGAGAUAAACCGACUGACAAGCCCGACAUCCACCCAGGACGACACGCCAAGGAAAACAUCCCUACCAAACAAGGCCCAACAAACCCCAACGACCACCUCCAGAAUAGCAAGAGAAUCCAGGUGGCUCCAGCAACCAAUCAUGUCCCAAACCAGACCAAGACCCUCAAGAAACCACAAUCCCCAAGAAAUGUGCAGAGCUAAGACCUUUAGAAGCAACAUCAAGAUGAUACAAUAUAAUCCGAUCAGACCCAGUUCUCCGCUAGAAGUGAAUUUCCUAAUGCAAUUACCUUUAUAAUCUAAACUCAUUCUUUAUAUGUAAGAUAAAAAAGCUUCGCUUUCAAUAGAUAGGCCAACUUCACGGGAUGAAGCAAUUGGGGGUAACCAAAGACUUCCCGCGAGGUUUCCCAUGCUCAUAAUGAAGAAACCAUCAGAGGAGCAGAGACCUAGAGCUAUUAAAAACUCAAAUUUCAAUCCACUCAUUCAAACCAGAGAAAAGAUAUUAGGCUUAUUGCAAUGUAAGAUAAUAAUAUUUCUAGGAUACGUUUAUUUUAUUAUAAUUGAUAAAAUGUAAGAUAAAGUAUUUUUAUUCUUAAAAGAAGAAUUUUUUCAAUUUCAUAACUAAUUUUUUUAAAAUAUUUCAAAAUUUAAAUUAUUCUAAAUAAAUAAAGAAUUAACCUUAUUGUUUUAUUCAUUAAUACUAAUUUUUUAAAUUAAAUAUUCGCUCCGUCUCAAUUAACUUGAUCAAUAUAUAUUUUUGGAUCGUUUCAACUAAGAGCAUUCAUAUCGAUUGGCUCAUAAGGUUGAUUCGAGUCAGCCCAAGCUAUGAGUCGACCGAUGCCGUCCUCUCUGACUCGAACUCUGGUUCGAUGAGAUGAGUCGGGUUUAUGCGUGUAAAAAUCUGGCGCAUGUAAAUAUACACGCCUAUAAUUGAAAAAAAAUAUGUUUGAAAAUUCGAAUUCCAAUGGUUUUCAGUCGAUUUUUUUUCUUUUACCCUAAUGGCUAUUAUUAUUAUUAUUAUUAUUAUUAUUAUUAUUAUUAUUAUUAUUAUUAUUAUUAUUAUUAUUAUUAUUAUUAUUAUUAUUAUAUUUUUUCCUUUCUCACCGGCCUUUUGCCUACUGUGUUAUUUUUGUUUUGGUCUUGUUGGCUUGAGCCGGGUUGGUUUGGGGACGAUGGUUAGGUCGGAGUUCCUAAAACUUUCCCUUCCGCUCUUCCUUCUCUUGUCGUUCCUUGGUUGUCUAGACGGGUACUCUUUUUCCUUCUUACGGUUUUCCUUUGGGUUUUCCGUAGGAAGAUUUUAAUGAGACUCGGCCCUUAGUCUGCUUUUCUGUGCUUUUAAGGGUUUUAAGUUUUUCUGUUUUUUCUUCUUAUAUAUAAUCGCAAUUUAAUAAUAAUAAUAAUUAUUAUUAUUAUUAUUAUUAUAUUUUUUCCUUUCCCAACGGCAGUUUGCUUGUUUUUUUUUCUCUUUCUACUAUAAAUACCUACCUUCUACCUCAAACUUUUUUCAUUCUUCCCCACUUAUUCUUCCUAUCUCCCAUCUCUCUCAAUUUCUCUCUUUCUUAUCAGUGGAUUCCAACGAUCUCAAUACUCCUGAUUAUUUUUCUUCUAAUUGGAUCGAUGAUCUUUUCUGCCCAUUCUACCAUCCAGACAUUUAGGCGGUUAAUUUGGCUGACGAGCCUCAAGGCGAAGGGGAAAAUUAAUGUAGUUUUAUGUUUAUGUAAUUUUAAAUUAUGUCUUCUAAUUAGGUAUUUUUAGUUUUAUGUAAUUUUAAUUUUUCGUAUUUUAAAUUACAGAAGUUUUAAUUUUAACAAUUAUGUUAUUUAAAUUUAUCAUUUAAAUUGGUGUCAUUUAAAUUAAAUAAAAAAUAAAAAUCAAAACUAAUUCAACUGAGUCAGCAUGAUAAGUCAGACUAAUGCAGACGUUGAUUCAUAAGUGGUUUCAGAGCAUAAUUGAGUCAGUGACUCGAUAAUGCUCCAAGACCACUCGCAACGAUGACUCUCAUGGCGAGUCACCCGAAUACGAUAACACCCACAAUUUAUUAAAAUAAGUGGAAAGUCACCAAAUUUGGGUGACCGGGCGGGUGCCUCUGUCACCCCAGAUCACGCCAUACUUCUUUUUAUAUCAACAAGCCAUGUGUCAAUAUUUAAUUGGUGGAUUAAUUAUUGUUUAGAUAAAUUUUUAUAAUAAUUUUUUUUAUAAAAAAUAUAUUAAAAUUUAUAUUAUUUUCAGCUCUAUAAAUGGAACAUAAGUUCUCUAUAUUUUCACACACAAACCAAAUCUCACUAUUUCUUCCCAAUUUAACAUUUCGUUUAUUUUUUUCCUCACAAAUUUGUUUCCAUUCCAAGUUAUGGAUCCAACUCAUCCCAAUUAGUUUUAUCCAAAUUCUCAAAACCAUCAAAAUUCUCAAGAUUAUGAUCCAACAGAAUUUUUUAUGGAUACACCUACAAUAUUACAAACAGAAGAUGACGAAUAUUUCCACUAUUCUACUGAAUGUAUUGCGAGCUUGUCUGCUUAUAUGACUAAUAGAGAUUAACUUCACAAUGGAGAUGCUCAUAGGACUCUUCAAGAUGAUUUGAUUGAGCACAUAUGAAAAAAAAUUGGCACUGUAUUUAAAUAUGUAUUUUGCAUUUUCUAAUUGUAUUUUUAAAGUUUCACGUAUUGUAAUUUGAUUUAUUUAAUUUCAGUUAUGUGUUUAAUUCGUGUAAUCUUCAUUUGUGAUUGAGUUAAGUAUCAAUUAAAAUAUAGUGUAAAUAUCAAUUUUUUGCCCAUCGUUUGAUCGUUUUCUCAAAAAUAUCUCACCCUAAGGAUAAUUACAAAAUAAUACUCAUUGUUUCAUUUUUUUAUUCUUAUUUAUGACCCAUAAAAAUAUUCCGACUACCGGUAUUUGAUGUGUGGCAGUGGGAGGGAGCCGGCAGAGAAGAUGGUGGUGGGCGGCGGAAUAAAAGGCGGUCCGCCAUUGCCUCUGAAAUUUCGGCGAGACCGAUGUCAGCCAAUCAACGUCUUCCUUCCCCUUUCUCCUGACUCUCUUCAUCUCUCUCACUCUCAAUCUCAAUCUCUCCGCCCUCUCUAAUAGAAAAUGUGCACACACACACAAGUUUGAAACUACAAACCACAAAAACAGAUCAUUAAAUGAUCCAAUAACUGAUGGAUUCACAAUUAUCCAAUUCAAUUGCUUGACACCCACAGAAAAAUGAAAAUGAGAGAGAUAGAGCUAGCUCAAAUUUUUGACAGCAGGUGAAGCUCCGACAAUGUCAAAAAAUUGCCUUAAAUCAGCUAACCAAUGGACUCAACACAGGAAGUUUGACAAAUAAAUUAUCCAAUUGGAAAUCCACACAAAGUUUGCAGUCCAAAUUUAUCAAAUGAGACUACAAUUUGCUGAAAAAGAAAAGACUUUGAAUUCAAGAGGAGAAUACUUUGCAGCAUUAUACACACAGUCUCUAAGCAGAUUCACGCACCCACAAACACGAUGCUGCCCUGCCGCGUUGGAGUCUAGCAACAUCGAUCAGUCAUUGCCCCUCUUUCCUCUCAUCUCUUUACAGUAACAGCAACUGAAACCAUCUCCUUCUCCUUGUCAAAUUUUCAAUCGGGCAGCACGCCACCGUCGACUUCCUCCUACCUCUUCCUCACUUUUUCCCCCAUUUUGAUCCCCUAACUCCCUCAUCUCGCUCUCUCUCUCUCACAAAACCCAUAAAUAUCUUAAUUUAUGAAUUGAUUCAUGGUGGAGUUGCCAUCGCCCUUCCUCACCUUUCCCCCCAUUUAUGAAUUGAUUCAUGGUUAGGGGUGGAGCAAAAUAUCGAAAAAUCGGUAUACCGCACUUACCAUACCGAAAAAAUACCGAAAAUACCGAAAUUUCGGUAUGCCGAAAAUUUCGAUACGGUAUUGUACCGUAUCGAAAUUUUUUGGUACGGCAACGGUAUCAAUUUUCCUCAUACCGCGGUAUACCGAUAUAUACCGAUACCGCGGUAUAUGCCGAAAAUCGGUAUAUACCGUUGUUUCGGUAUAUACCGCGGUAUCGGUAUAUAUCGUUGUUCCGGUAUAUACCGAAAAAACCCGUAUACCGUCAGAAUAAAUUAUAUAUAUAUAUGUUUUAAUUAGUGGUAAAUUAUUAAAAGUUUUUUUUAUUAAAAUUGUUUAUUAUUUCAUAAAUAUACUAUAAUAAAUUAAUGACAAUUAUAAAAAAUACUUAUAAAAUAUAUAUUUAUUAAUAAUUAAAAACAUGUAAAUAAAUUGAAUAAAUAUAAAAUAAAUUGCAUCUAUGUUAUUUAACUAAAGGACUUUGAAAGUAUACAAGUAUAUUACAUAACUAUACAAUUAUGAGAUACAUAUAUAUAUCUAUAUUUAUAUGUCUACAUACUAUAAUUCUAAUUCUAGAAUAACUAUAUCUCUAGAAUAAGUUACAUUCAUGUUAUAUAAAAAAUUAACUAAUUAAUAUAGAUAAUAAUAAGUCAUAAGUAAAAUUUGAAAAAUAAAUAAAUUGAGUAAAUAUAAAACUCAAACAAUAAUUACAAGAUUUACUAGGUUACUGAUGAAACUAUAAUAUCAAUAUAUAGUCAAUUAUAAUAUAUAGCUAUAUAAGUGUGAGCUAUAUAGUUAUAUUAUACAUGUAGACUAUAAUUUUAGAAUAAGUUAAUUAUACGGAUGUAAAGUAAACAAAUCGAAUUGAAGCGAAUAUUAUUGGAUUCGAUUCACAUUCGUAAAAAUAAUUGCAUAUUCCAAUGGUUACUCGAAUAUUUUUCAAAUUUUAUUUGCUAUUCAUAGUCGAUUUGUACACUGAUUCGCGAAUAUUCGAAUCGAAUCAAAUACCCGUUUCAAUUUUUUACAAGUAUAUUUUAAACAAUAUAAAUCGAAAUACUUCCUACUGAUUUCAUUUGACUUCUUACUAUUUAAUUCAAAAUAUGAAAUACUUUCGUAUGAAUUGAAUUUGAAAUCAAUGUUUUUAAUGCUUUGAUUAAUAUUAUUUUUAAUUUAAGUAAAUAUUAUAUCUAUUUUAUUCUUUAUUUUUAAAUACUGAAUCGAGCAUUAUGAUUUUUGAAUCAUAUUUAAUAACUAAUCAAAUCAAACAAAAUAUUCAUAUUUGUAUUCGAGUUAAUCACAAAAUUUCGUAUUCGAAUAUCAAAAAUUUGAAUUGAAUACCAAACUAAACCAAAAAUAUUUGAUUAAUUUAAUUAAGGGAAAAAAAUAUAAUUAUGUUAUUUUUCUAAUAUAAAUAAAAGCAAUUAAUAUCAAACAAUGAAAUACUUACUAUAUUUUCAUUAAAUUAUUAUUCAAUACUCAUUAAAUCCUUGAAUAUAAAUAAAAACAAUAUAAUGCAUUAUUUAACAAUAUAUCUCAUAAAAAGAUAAAUAAUAAUAUAACUAUUUAUUAAGUAUUAGAUACAUAAUAUAUAUAAUUUCAUUGUUAUCUAAGUUGAUAAUUUAACUUAAUUAUAGUGUACUAAAAUAAUUUUAAAAGUUAUAGGGAUACGUAUAUAUUAUGUUAUAUAUAAUAAAAAAUUAUAUACGUAUUAUAUAUUAUAUAUUAUAUAUAUUGAUAUUAAUAUACCAAUAAUUUCUAUAUACCGUAUGGUAUGGUAUACCGACUUUCGGUAUGGUAUACCGCAUUAUCGGUACGACAACGGUAUGGAAAGUAUGCCGAUCUUCGGUAUACCGAAAAGUACGGUAUGGAAAUUCUCAUACCGCAAUUUACGGUAUGGUAUACGGUAUGACGAAAUUUUUUUGGCAUACCGUACCGAUCCACCCCUAGGUGGAAUGCCUCACCUCGUUGUCUUAUUCCAUAGAUUCAUGGUGGAAUUUUCACCGCCAUUGUACCAUAUUCCGAUCGACUCUUGAUUUUUCAGGGCAUUACACACUAUUUGGGCAGAGGGUGGUGAAGGAGUCAGCGGUAGGGAGGGGGAAGCAAAUGAGAUGGCAGGGGGAGGGGGAUUAGAAUCAGCGUCAUUAGGUUUUUUUUUUUUUUUUAAUUACACGUGUCUGCCAACAUAGCGUUUGGCCGGAACACGUCAAAUACUGGUAGUCGGAAUAUUUUUACGGGCCACAAAAAAAAUGAAACGAUGGGUAUUGUUUUGUAAUUAUCCUUAGGGUGAGAUAUUUUUGAGAAAACACUCAAACGAUAGGCCAAAAACUGAUAUUUACCCUCUAAUAUAUGACAAUGUUUAAUUAUAAUAUGAUUAUAUUUAUUUUAUUUUGUUAAAAAUAAUAAAUAAAUAUUUAAUUUUAAUUCAUAUUUUAUUUUAGAUAUUAGAUAAUUAAAAAUAAGUGAAAAGAAAAAAUAUGUAGGUUGAGUUGGUGUCACCAUUGUGAGUAAAAUUAUAUUAGGUUGUGGGUUGUGCAGGUUGAUGUGAGAGAAAUAGAUAUAUUUUAUUAAUAAGUUAAGUAAGGUUGGAUUGGAUGAAUGUCACGACUGUGGAUAAUCUAAAAUGAUCAAUUUUUUGAUAUGAAAUAAAUAUAAAUAAAAAAUAUUUAAUAAUUUAUUUAUUUUAUUAUUAUAUAUACUUAAAUAUUAAUUUAUUAAAUUUCGUGCCAAGAGAAGUUCAUCGAUAUAACGGGUACAACGGGAACGGGUGCAGAGGGAGUAACAUCAUAGAACUUUUUAAAUCAUUCCUUGUUUGGAUAACGUUGAGUUGGUUGGGGAUAAAGGUGUUAAUUAGAUGAGUUCGAAAGACUGUCGGUUGAUAAACGUCUUAAUAAAAUUAAAUUCAUUAACAAUUACAUACCACGUCAGUUUGCCACAUGCUCAUAGAAAACUACGCUUUAAAGUUUAGUUGUUCUUUUUACUUAUUUAUUUAUUUAUUUAUUUUCUUCAGUUUUGUUUUGAGUUGGGAUACGGAUUAUAAUUUUUAUUUAUUUAUUUAUUUAUUUAUUUUCUUUUGUUUUGUUUUAAGUUGGGAUACGGAUUAUAAUUUUUAAGGUUAAUUUGACACUUGAAUAAAAAAAAAGGUUAAUUUGAUACUACCUCCAUCAUUUAAAAUUAAAAUAAUUUUAGUAGAGAGCCGCACGAAUUUUAAUAAAAAUAAUUAAAUAUAUUAAAAGUGAAGAAAAGAUCUCAAUUUAUAUGUAAUGUUAAUAAUAAUAAUAAUUAAAAUUUUACUUGUGGAGAAAAGUCAUACCAUAUGAUAUAAUAAAUGAAUAACUUAAUAUAUAUAAAGGAUAAUCUAUUGCGAGUAUAUUUAUACUAAACGGGCAUAUUUAUGCCAUAUGUAAAAAAAUGAGUGAGUAUGUAAAAUGAGAAAAAAAUAAUAAUUAAUUUAUUUUAAAUAAAUUUUAUAAUUGGUGUGUAAAAUAUAUAUUUUUUAAAAGUUCAAUAAUUUAUAUGCGAUUAACCAUAAUUUUUUAUAUAUCUUACUCUCUCAUUCAUUAUAAUUCUUCUCUCAUUUAGGUGUGUAUUACCGAUAUGCAAAGUUCGAAAUUUAAAAUUUAUUCUCCCACUAAAGAUAUCGAUAUAUAAUAUAAAAGAGGAGUAUAACGUACAUUUUUUCCCACCAAAAGAGGAGUAUAACGUACACUUUAGUGUUAUGGUUUAUGUUAGGUCCAGAGGGUCUCGAAUAGGUGUAUGGGGGGGAGGGGGAAUACACCUAUGGGCUAUUUUUACAUCCUCAAUCAGAGGGAUCUCAUCAAGAAUCAAAACGAAAACUUUGUCAUGCAAACAAACCUGUUUUUACUGUAAACGUUUUGACCAACAGGUUGACGACUGAUACUAAAAGCUCUUCAGUAAAGAGUUAUCAGUUAAGUUGUUGGAACUUAACUGAUGCACGUAAGGGCUUCAGUCGUGUUUGCUAAGACAGAGAUGAUACACUCUUCCUGACUAUCAAAAGAUAGAUCAGUCAGACUGAUAUCAUACGCACGGAAAUUAAACUUAGUUUCGCAAUAGCCUCGGUGGAGCAGUUGUUGGUUUAGGUUUCUCUUUGCGUUAUCAGUGUUCAGUUUUAUCAAUUGAAAUACACAAGUAAGAAUGUAAAAACUGAAAGUGUAAACAACACAGAGACUUUUACGUGGUUCGAAAAACCUUUCCUACAUCCACGGUGGUUGAUCAGACCAACAAUCCACUCCGCAAGUGCUUAACAGGUGCACUGCAAACCAAACCGUGUGCUUGCCGGGUGCACACAACCGUACCACUGAAGAAAACCCUUCUUCAGGACCCAUGCUUCACUCGGUUCGGAUUUCUCUGCUCAGCACAACCCGUGCUAAGACUUCUCACUCAGAGUCAGAGUACCUUCCUGAACUCCAAUCACUCAAACACUCUUUUGGAGGGAGGUUUGAACGAUGCCAACUUCACUACAAGAACAAGUUCUUUGAAGCAAGUUUGACCUUUGGCUUCUGGGUAAACAAGGUUUGCCUAAGGUCUAAGAGAAUGUGUGUAAUCACAGUGACUAUUUUGGCUUUGAAUUUCUUCUUCGAUUCAAGCUUUGGGGAGAUUAGCUUUAGGCUGAGUAGCAAUUUCGGCAGAGCUUCAGCUUAUGUCGUUGAAUCGGUGAAGGUUGAAGUGAUCCUCGAGCCUAUUUGUAGAGAACUCUUGAAUAGAUCCGUUGGCGUAGAACGUCAUCAAGAUUUCUUACGUUGGAGAGCAAUUCGAAUUUGGGCUGAGGCUUCAGUCUUCGAGGUUCCUUGUCUGGGUGGAAACGACUCUCUUUGAUGGACAGGAGAUGUGACGUCUCUGAAGAGUAACCACCAGAUAGGAAUAACUCAGAAAAGAAAAGUAUCUAGAUCUCUGCAUUCAAUACGGAUCACAUGUGAGUACGUGACUUCCUUAAUUGGAAGAUAGUCUAGGAGGAAUGUGCAACUGAUAUGAAUCUAACAUCAAUAAAUUGAGAGCAGAAAGUAAAAAUCCUACAACUAAAUCUGAAACUGAUACUAAAAACGAAAUCUAAAAUUACAGUCUAAAGUCAUUCGAACUGCAAUCCAAAGUACUAAGUCUAAAACACAGAAAACUAAACUACAACAGAACUCUAACACUUGAGCACAAAGCAAUCCUAGUCUAUUACAAUUAAGUCAGAUGAUGUUGCUUCAUCAAAACAACGCAUAUUCCACAAGGUUACCAACAUUAAUUGAUUCAUGUACAUUAGUAAAGCUGCUACUCCCACCAUCAUUUUGAACCUGAAAUAUUUCAUAUUUAUAAUAAUUGUUUUCAAUUUCAAAACCAAUCUAUAUAAUAUUUAUUUAAUCAAUACCUUAAUGUUUCCAAUUUCUUUGUCUUUCAAUUGAGUUUCCUUGGUCUCACUUUCAACUAUUGACCCACAAUAUUUAUUUAAAAUAUUUGGGUCGCAGUUGAUUUUUGUCACAACAUAUGCUCCAUCAAAAAUCGUUGAUUCUUCAACUUUAAUUUUAAAUAGAGCAUUUUUGUUGGUGAUAGCAUCUAUCUCAAUUGGCAACUCAUUGCUAUUAGGAUCCUGCAAAAUUUUAUUAAUUAAUACUUUAGAAUUAUCUCCAUAAUUUAUUAUAAUUUUAUUUGCAUUCACUUACAUAUAUUAUUUCUUCAGCAGGUUUCCCAAUUAGUUGUAAGCACUCUCUAUCCCAUAAGCUUAAAGAAACACCUCCAGAAUUAUCAGCAACAUAUACUCUUAGUCUAUACCUAUUUUUUAUUAGAUAACAUGUUAGUAAGUCAUAAACAAUAGUAUUUUCCAAAUAUCUUAAAAUGGAUAUACCUCAUUUUUCCUGAAACAUCAAAGCUUGCACAGUUGUCACAAAAAAUUUAUCAUCAUUUGCUUUCAGUUUUUUUAGGCAUAUGUUGCAUGCUAAGUAAGCCCAACCUCGAAUCGUUGAUACAUAACAUAUUGUGCCAUAUAUCCAGUACAUUCCCCUCUUAAAAACAUGAAAAUAUAUUAUUUAAAUGUUUCACAAAUUUAAUAUUAAAAAAAUAUAAAAUUAUGUAAUAUUAAACCUGUUGACCAGUCAACUCUGAAAUAGCCAUGAAUUUUGCACUGCCUUCAUUUAUUUCAUCUUCAAUCGUUCUAAUUGUUGGUGCUGCCAAUAACUUCAGAUUGAUUGAUCUUUCCUUGUGAAGUUUGAUAAAACUGCAAUUGGAAAUAAUGUGAACAAUAAUGUAUGGCGAUGCAAUUAAUUUUUAUUUUUUAAAAUACUUACUUGUCCUUCAUCUUCUUGAUUUCAACAAUGUUUUCAUCAAAAAGUAUGUUUGACACAUGAUAUGAACUUGAUAUGCAAACUUCACCUAUUUCAUAAACCAAAAUGUAUUAGCACAAAUAGAUAAUAGAUAAUGAUAAUAAAUUUUUUAUUUUUUCUACCUCUGAAUAUAGAUGGGCGACAGAAUUGUACUAUGAUACAUAUUGGUCAUUUUUGGUUCUGUGCACAGAUAUUCAUGCAUUUUAUUUGCAUACUGUUCCCAAAGUGUGCAUGUCAUAGUCUUUCCCCUGCAAUUAAAUACAAUUUAGGUUAGUCAUUCACAUAUAUUGAGGUAUUUUAAUUUAUAGCAAUUAACAUAAUUGAAAGAAUAAUAAAUAUUACUCCAAAUCUUCUAUGAUGAUAUCCAUAAGCUUUGUUUGUUGUCCAUUGAAAUCUUUGAUUAUUGGCUGAUAACUUGAAACUACGAUUCCCAUGAUAUCUACAAUAUAAAUUUUAAAUUAAAAUUCGUAAGAUUAUAAUAAUUAAAAUAAAAUGGCUGAAAAGUUUUUACCAAACAUGACCACAUUCUGGACGUCAGAAAUAGAAGAAAUUUCUCCAAAAUUUUUGAUGUUGAAUGUGUGAUUUGGGAAUGUAUCAUCAUCGAGUUCUACAACUCUUGCGUGCUUGAACAAUAAAAGCUUAUAUUGUGACUCUGUGGUUUUGUAUUUCAUGGUGUUGUUGGUGAUAACAAAAUCCUUGAUUGCAUAAACAUGUCCUUCUGUGAUGAGUGGCUUAAUUUGCUGUAGUGAUGAAGUAUUAAUUGUGGCAUGGAUUCGAUCGCCCUAUAAAAAUAAACAAAAAUUUUAGUGUGAUAUUUGAAAUUUUCGAAAAUAUAAAAAAAUAGUGUAUUGAGUGAGUACCUCUUUAUCAUGGAACACACAUUCAUGAGAAAAUGUUUCAGAUUUGUUGUUGAACUUGAAGAUGUCAUAACUUCUUAUCAAGCGCAAUUGCAAUGCGAUCUUGCUCUUUCCCGGUUCCAAUUCCUUGAUGACGCCGAACAAAGGAGCCAUUUCAACGUAAAAUGAAAAAAUGAGAAUGAUUUUUGUGGAGAACGAUAUUUUGGCUUUCGGAUUCGUAUUGUGAUAGGUGGAAUUCGUGUUGUGAUAGUUUGUGAGGUUAUAUUUAUAGAUGGUGUAAAUUAUUUAUUUUGUUUUAUAAAAUUAUGGAGUAACUGCUGCAGUUAUGGAUAGGAUUUAACUAAAUAACUGUAAUAGAUUUGUAAAUUGUGUAAAUUAUUUAUUUUCUUUUAAAAUUCGUUGAUUUAGAUAGUUAUAGUUGGGAGUUAGUGGG